GGCAGACAUGUGAGAUAGCUCAAUGGGCAGAGCAUGAGGCUCUUAAUCUCGGAGCUGUGAGUUCGAGCCCCGCGUUGGGCCA